GGGGGGCGGUACGGUGACGUGGCCCCGUUGCCGUGUCCGUGCACAGGGUCCCAGGACCGAACACAGAACUUCGGGCGGAUGUACCUGCUGUGGAGGGCUUACGUCCCCCCGGCUCCGCCAGUGCUGGGGGGGUGGGGGGGGGGACCGGUGGGCAUGUGUGGGGCCAGCGCCUCCGCCUCCCUGAGAGCAGAUCGGCCUGGCAGGUGCAGUGGCUGUUGGCCCCGCAUAGGGGGUCCCCAAACAUUAAAAUCGACGGGCGUAAGCAGAGAAGGGCCUUCUGGCUGAACCGAGGAGGGGCAUGAGCCGGCGACGCGUGGGGGCAGAGCCGGCCCGAGAUGCACACUGAGGGAAGGCCGCUCUUAACACACUUCUCUGCGCGACCUUGCACGUCACCGGGCCCCACCUGACGGCUCCCGG